GACGAACGCUGGCGGCGUGCUUAACACAUGCAAGUCGAACGGAAAGGCCUCUUUCGGGGGGUACUCGAGUGGCGAUCGGGUGAGUAACACGUGAGUAACCUGCCCUUUACUUUGGGAUAACUUCAGGAAACUGGGGCUAAUACCGGAUAGGAGCUCCUGCUUCAUGGUGGGGGCUGGAAAGUUUCGGCGGUUGGGGAUGGACUCGCGGCUUAUCAGCUUGUUGGUGGGGGAGUGGCUUACGAAGGCUUUGGCGGGUAGCCGGCCUGAGAGGGUGAGCGGCCACCUUGGGACUGCGAUACGGCCCAGACUCCUACGGGGGGCAGCAGUGGGGAAUAUUGCACAAUGGGGGGAAGUCUGAUGCAGCAACGCCGUGUGCGGGAUGACGGCCUUCGGGUUGUAAACCGCUUUCGCCUGUGACGAAGCGUGAGUGACGGUAAUGGGUAAAGAAGCACCGGCUAACUACGUG
rnacentral:rRNA from 1 species